rnacentral:rRNA from 1 species
UAAAAAAAGGUAAGCUACUAAGAGCGAAUGGUGGAUGCCUUGACUGGUAAAGGCGAUGAAGGACGUACUAGACUGCGAUAAGCUACGGGGAGCUGUCAAGAAGCUUUGAUCCGUAGAUUUCCGAAUGGGGCAACCCAAUGUAUAGAGAUAUACAUUACCUAUAUAGGAGCGAACGAGGGGAAUUGAAACAUCUUAGUACCCUCAGGAAAAGAAAUCAAUAGAGAUUGCGUCAGUAGCGGCGAGCGAAAGCGCAAGAGGGCAAACCCAGUGCUUGCACUGGGGGUUGUAGGACUGCAAUGUGCAAGAGGUAAGUUUAGCAGAACAUUCUGGAAAGUAUAGCCAUAGAGGGUGAUAGUCCCGUAUGCGAAAAACAAACCUUAGCUAGCAGUAUCCUGAGUAGGGCGGGACACGAGGAAUCCUGUCUGAAUCCGGGUCGACCACGAUCCAACCCUAAAUACUAAUACCAGAUCGAUAGUGUACAAGUACCGUGAGGGAAAGGUGAAAAGAACUGAGGUGAUCAGAGUGAAAUAGAACCUGAAACCAUUUGCUUACAAUCAUUCAGAGCCCUAUGUAGCAAUACAGGGUGAUGGACUGCCUUUUGCAUAAUGAGCCUGCGAGUUGUGGUGUCUGGCAAGGUUAAGCAAACGCGAAGCCGUAGCGAAAGCGAGUCUGAAUAGGGCGCUUAGUCAGAUGCUGCAGACCCGAAACGAAGUGAUCUAUCCAUGAGCAAGUUGAAGCUAGUGUAAGAACUAGUGGAGGACUGAACCCAUAGGCGUUGAAAAGCCCCGGGAUGACUUGUGGAUAGGGGUGAAAGGCCAAUCAAACUUCGUGAUAGCUGGUUCUCUCCGAAAUAUAUUUAGGUAUAGCGUUGUGUCGUAAUAUAAGGGGGUAGAGCACUGAAUGGGCUAGGGCAUACACCAAUGUACCAAACCCUAUCAAACUCCGAAUACCUUAUAUGUAAUCACAGCAGUCAGGCGGCGAGUGAUAAAAUCCGUCGUCAAGAGGGAAACAACCCAGACUACCAGCUAAGGUCCCUAAAUCUUACUUAAGUGGAAAACGAUGUGAAGUUACUUAAACAACCAGGAGGUUGGCUUAGAAGCAGCCAUCCUUUAAAGAAAGCGUAAUAGCUCACUGGUCUAGUGAUUUUGCGCGGAAAAUAUAACGGGGCUAAAGUAAGUACCGAAGCUGUAGACUUAGUUUAC